rnacentral:rRNA from 1 species
GAUGAACGCUGGCGGCGUGCCUAAUACAUGCAAGUCGAGCGAACGGACGAGAAGCUUGCUUCUCUGAUGUUAGCGGCGGACGGGUGAGUAACACGUGGAUAACCUACCUAUAAGACUGGGAUAACUUCGGGAAACCGGAGCUAAUACAGGAUAAUAUUUUGAACCGCAUGGUUCAAAAGUGAAAGACGGUCUUGCUGUCACUGAUAGAUGGAUCCGAGCUGCAUUAGCUAGUUGGUAAGGUAACGGCUUACCAAGGCAACGAUGCAUAGCCGACCUGAGAGGGUGAUCCGCCACACUGGAACUGGGACACGGUCCAGACUCCUACGGGAGGCAGCAGUAGGGAAUCUUCCGCAAUGGGCGAAAGCCUGACGGAGCAACGCCGCGUGAGUGAUGAAGGUCUUCGGAUCGUAAAACUCUGUUAUUAGGGAAGAACAUAUGUGUAAGUAACUGUGCACAUCUUGACGGUACCUAAUCAGAAAGCCACGGCUAACUACGUG